rnacentral:rRNA from 1 species
AGAGUUUUGAAUCUGGCUCAGAUUGAACGCUGGCGGCAGGCCUAACACAUGCAAGUCGAACGGUAGCACAGAGAGCUUGCUCUCGGGUGACGAGUGGCGGACGGGUGAGUAAUGUCUGGGAAACUGCCUGAUGGAGGGGGAUAACUACUGGAAACGGUAGCUAAUACCGCAUAAUGUCGCAAGACCAAAGAGGGGGACCUUCGGGCCUCUUGCCAUCAGAUGUGCCCAGAUGGGAUUAGCUAGUAGGUGGGGUAACGGCUCACCUAGGCGACGAUCCCUAGCUGGUCUGAGAGGAUGACCAGCCACACUGGAACUGAGACACGGUCCAGACUCCUACGGGAGGCAGCAGUGGGGAAUAUUGCACAAUGGGCGCAAGCCUGAUGCAGCCAUGCCGCGUGUAUGAAGAAGGCCUUCGGGUUGUAAAGUACUUUCAGCGGGGAGGAAGGUGUUGUGGUUAAUAACCACAGCAAUUGACGUUACCCGCAGAAGAAGCACCGGCUAACUCCGUGCCAGCAGCCGCGGUAAUACGGAGGGUGCAAGCGUUAAUCGGAAUUACUGGGCGUAAAGCGCACGCAGGCGGUCUGUCAAGUCGGAUGUGAAAUCCCCGGGCUCAACCUGGGAACUGCAUUCGAAACUGGCAGGCUGGAGUCUUGUAGAGGGGGGUAGAAUUCCAGGUGUAGCGGUGAAAUGCGUAGAGAUCUGGAGGAAUACCGGUGGCGAAGGCGGCCCCCUGGACAAAGACUGAUGCACAUUUCGGGCCCGGUUUUGAGUUUG